AAAGGUGCUGAGUGGAGCCGGCAGCCGGCGCGGCCAGCAUGGUGCUGGCGGGAACCACGUGAGGCAUGGUGAGCAAUUCCCCAGUGUGGAGCCCACAUGGGAUCAACCUUUUAAUGCUGCAGAACCCUUUAAAAACUUUUCAACUGAUAGAACUUGAGAACAAGAGAACCUAUGGACACCAGUCCUCUCUCAAGUCAGAGAAAAGAAAAAGGUGAAGACCCAUGAGGAGAACAACAUGGUGACACUAAGAAGCUGUGCAGCAUAAAGGGAGAUGCUGGCUCUGAACCCACAACUCAUUGACUAAGAUUCCUUGAAGAGUGGACUUACCAUCACUGAAACGAGCAUGAGCAGAAUAUGUCCAGCAUGAAGGGAUUUGUUGACAAGAAACCCACAUUCAAGUGACUAUAAUUCCUUGAAAAGCAGGCUUAUCAGACAUCAGGAGGAACAGAAGCAGGAUGUGUACCAGCUGCUUGGGGCUUAAUGUGACCCCAAAAGGAGUCUGUUCAGAGAAAGUAAAUUUACUUCAUUGUCUUAGGUUAUAAUGUCAAAUAUAACCAAACAGUAUGUAUUCUAUUACAAUCUGUGUCAGCUGUUAAGACAAAUGGGGCAGUGUUCUUUAUUCUCUCCAGGACUCAUCCCUGAUAACUCCCUCCAGGGGGCUAUCUAUGGGCCAUCAUGGCUUCACUGCAUCACUCACAAAAUUACAUCAUCCUGUUGUGAGAUGCUCUGCCCAAGGGGGAGAAUCAAGAAUUCCUACUUGGAUACAGUCUGAGGUUUUGGAGCACCAGAGUAGCUUUACUAACUGGAAUUUUAGAGGACAAGAGCUGCAUAACCACCACUGGAACUUCAGAGGAAGACCAGACCCUUCUAUGGGAUUGGUUCUUGAACAGAACCACAGCUAUCACUUCAGCAGGACUGCAGCCACCAUUUAACUGGACUGCUGCCACCACCCUGACCAACAGGGUGUCAAGUAGUAUCCUGACUCUGUCUGUUUAAGCCAGUGUUUUCUGCCUUUAUUCUAAUUUUCCCACUAAACUAUAACUGCCUUGGAAACUCCUACUGGUUGGUUUUCAAACUAGUACAUGGUACCGACCGGCUGGGGUUCAAAGGGAUGCGAAAAACAUUCUGUUCAGAGAAAGUAAAUUUACUUUGGAGAAAGUAAAU